rnacentral:rRNA from 1 species
CCUACGGGAGGCAGCAGUGAGGAAUAUUUGUCAAUGGGCGCGAGCCUGAACCAGCCAAGUAGCGUGAAGGCUGACUGCCCUACGGGUUGUAAACUUCUUUUAUAAAGGACUAAAGUGAGGCACGGGUGCCUUUUUGUAUGUAAUUUAUGAAUAAGGAUCGGCUAACUCCGUGCCAGCAGCGGCGGUAAUACAGAGGAUCCAAGCGUUAUCCGGAUUUAUUGGGUUGAAAGGGUGCGUAGACGGGUUGUUAAGUCAGUUGUGAAAGGUUGCGGCUCAACCGUAAAAUUGCAAUUGAUACUGUCAGUCUUGAGUACAGUUGAGGUAGGCGGAAUUCUUGGUGUAGCGGUGAAAUGCUUAGAUAUCACGAAGAACUCCGAUUGCGAAGGCAGCUUACUAAACUGCCACUGACAUUGAUGCUCGAAAGUGUGGGUAUCAAACAGGAUUAGAUACCCCAGUAGUC